GCUGUGAUGGCCGAGUGGUUAAGUUGGAUUUGAAAUCGGGGUUUCCCUGGCAGGUUCGAACACUGCUCUCAGCG